UAUUUUAUCAGCCGCAAUCAUACAAUCGUUAUCAGCAUUUUAAACAAUCAUUUUGAUCAUUAUUUGCUCACAGUACAAUAUUUUUCAUUGUUGUCAUUUCUUAUUUCAAUUAUGUUCACUGUUGUUAAAGACAUAACUAAAAAACAGCAAGUAAAUGACACUGUAUAAAUAAAUAAAUAAUCAAGUCAUGGAAACAAUAUCGACUUUUGAAUGAGACAUGACUUUCGGAUGUUGAACUUUGACAGCAACUUGCUUUCCGUUAUGCAAAACAGCACAGUGAACUUGAGCUAAAGAUGCCGCACCAACAGAAGAUUUUGGAGCACGGCUAUGAAGAACACUAAGAGUGGAUGUAUACUCUUCGGGCAAUAAAUAAUCCAUGGCACCAACAUGCUGUCCAACUUUAAUAAAAACACCAC